CCAGUGGAUAACUGUACCCAGAUGAAUGGUAUUUAGUGGGAACAUGAGCACUCAGAAUCUCUUUCCUUUUUCUGCCUGUUGCUACAAAGCACUUGGUGCAUCUUGGGUGGAAGAGAACUAGAAAGGCCUGUGGAGCUGGCUGCUAAAAUAGUGGCUGCUUUUGAAUAUAAUUAUUUUUCUUUAGUCCUCUAACCUCAGUGGACAGUAACAAAUUUAGCCCUGAAGUUGUACCUUCCCCCCUCCCCCCCAAAACCAGUUCUAAUAAAACUUUUUACUUGUUCUCUGAAUCUUCCUGAAGUGACUUUUGGCUGGUAGCCUGCAACUUCUGGAUAUCUGUGGAUUACUUCUAAAAGGUUCAAAAGAGGUGUGGUGGGACUCUCAAACUAUGAAUGAACUUUGGACCUGCUGCGGGGAAGGGGAACCAAACCUGUAUCUGCUGUUGGCCUUGCCACCUCUUGUUGGAAGAUGCCUCUUCUGUUUAAGAAGAGGAUGUUGCCACUUCUGCACAGGACCAGGCAUUUGGAGAUGGGAGAUGCUGCCACUGUGUAACCAGGACUUGUCUGCUGAUAAAGCCAGAACUCCUUGCACUAAGACAAAGAACAGUGAUUGUCCUAUACAGGCUUGUCUACCUGCUUUGCACAGUGUCCUUUGGUUCUGCGUAUCCGCUCUUUCUCCUGUGUUUCUUCCUUUGUCAGAAAACAGACAAAUGGCUGAAGUAAUCAAAGUCUAGCUUAAAGAUUAGCCAACAAGACUGCUUUGCUCCAGUUCUGUCACUAACAAUGAGAUAUCGGCUUAGGCUUCUGAACUGAUCAUGAUGCAGGGAGGUUUGUUAAUGACUGUUGCAGCUUUUCUAGUCAACACCAUUAAAAGGGUCACUCAUUCCUCUUCCUCCCCCCCCCCCCCCCCCCCCCAUUUAGUGUUAUUUUGACUUUUUAAAACUAAAGCUCUUAAGCAGCAGGGAAUCUAAUCUGAAUGGCUUUGUUUUUGUGUUUUUUCCAGAGGACAUAACCAUGAUGUUCAGCCAGGAACAGUGUUUGCUGGGAGAAAUAAAAGCAGUUCUGCAGUCAGCGGGACCCAGGUUCUAGCAGAAAGGAGCAGCCGGGAAGGAUCUGCCCAGAGGAUGCCUCGACAACCAAGUGCUAGCCGGCUGCAGAAAGUAGGAGCUUCUGGAAAGAGGGGUGGAGGCAACAGUACCUAAAUAAGGCACUGGCACUGAUGUAUUUUGAUACUUGAAAAUGUAUAUAGUCAGUCCUGUAGAAGUUGUAUGUUUUGUAUGUAUUUGUCUUGCAAAUAUUAUUUGUCAUACCUGGAACUGAGCUGUUUCUUAUUUUCAAAACUUUCUUUGUCCUGGGUGUCUUCAGACAACUCCUGGAAAUCUGAGUUGCGAAAGGAAGAGGUGUGAAGACUUGAAAGACUGGCAGUAGUGCUCUGUUUUCUCUGGCGAGGUCAAGACUCAUCUUACAAGGCAAUGCUCCUUGCUUCCUUCCCUAAAAUCCAGUUUGACACAUUCACAGUAGCUGGAACACAAUAGCUGAAUUUUGUGAGAUGGAUAAUGGUGUUAAAGGUCACACUGAUAAAGGAAGAGCCUCACAAUGAUGGUAAUUUGCACUGGAAACUUGAAUGCCUCAUAAGGAGGGGGGGAGGUUAUACUUGGUGUUUGCCCUGUCCCUUUCACAUGCCUGAUCAGGUAGAGUGUUAACACCUUAAUCUGAAAAGCAGUUUGACCUAACUGUGUAGCAUCUAGUCCUUCUGAUGAUGAUGAUUCUAAUAUGUGAUUAUUCACUUUAAAGUGUUAUAGAGCCUUUUUCCUAAUGAGCCCGGUUAAAUGAGAAGUUAUGCCAGGUAAGGGAGAGAAUAGCUUCAUCACUUAGUGUAAGAUACAAACAAGUAGCUGAAAUGGAUAAGUGAAUUUGCAGGAGCUGUAGUAUUGUCAUUCAUUGUGCUGGAGUGGUCUCUAAGCCAGUGGGUUUACUUGCUCUGUCCUCCCUAGCUCAGGAGCUCUUAGUGAAAUCAUUUUCUCUGGAUUAGGAGAAAGCACCUGCUUCUCUUAGCUGCCCCUGCUCUUUGAGGGAGUUUAAUAGCAUUCCCUAAACUCGGAGAUUUCACAAGCCUAGUAAAACAGGUGCUAAAAUCUAUUGCAGAUUAGCUCAUUCUUAAUAUGUUAAAGUCAUAUUUCUGUUUUCUCUGCCUAGGCCUGAGACUAUUCUUAGUAGGAAGGUGACAUGUUCAUAGCAUAUGGCAACCGCUGACCUAAUUAUGGGCUGAAACUUUGGAUUACCUUCAGCUCAGCCCAGUUCAGGGAUUUUGUUAGUGUUGGGUGGGGGUUGGAAGGCUGUAACCCUGUGCAUGGAGAUCAGAAUUUUUUUUAAGGGUAGGAGUUAGAAAAUGGAAAUGAGGCAGUUCAUGGCUUGCAGUAAUACACCCUGGAGCUCUGCUUAGGAAAGGCAUUCAAAUGAGAGUUUGAGCUUAACAGCAUCAGCAAAGUCUGGGUGUCUCCUGCUCUGAUCCCUGUACAGGAAAGGGCACAAGUUUUUUUUUUUUUUAAAACAGCUAGGACAUCUAGGAGAGGGAAAUGUUCUAUUUCUUUUUUUGUAAGAGUUACGUUUGUUGGUGAAAAGGAGCAGCUCAAGGUCUACUGUUCUAAGAAGAAUCAUUAGUAGUGUUCUUUGCCCUGGAACAGGAGUGAACAGACUUGAGAUGUGGCUGAAACAAUCUCUAUGAGGGAUAUUGAGCUUUCCUGAAAAUAAACAGUACCUAACAAAGA